GAUGAACGCUGGCGGCGUGCCUAAUACAUGCAAGUCGAGCGAACAGACGAGGAGCUUGCUCCUCUGACGUUAGCGGCGGACGGGUGAGUAACACGUGGAUAACCUACCUAUAAGACUGGGAUAACUUCGGGAAACCGGAGCUAAUACCGGAUAAUAUAUUGAACCGCAUGUUUCAAUAGUGAAAGACGGUUUUGCUGUCACUUAUAGAUGGAUCCGCGCCGCAUUAGCUAGUUGGUAAGGUAACGGCUUACCAAGGCAACGAUGCGUAGCCGACCUGAGAGGGUGAUAGGCCACACUGGAACUGAGACACGGUCCAGACUCCUACGGGAGGCAGCAGUAGGGAAUCUUCCGCAAUGGGCGAAAGCUUGACGGAGCAACGCCGCGUGAGUGAUGAAGGUCUUCGGAUCGUAAAACUCUGUUAUUAGGGAAGAACAAAUGUGUAAGUAACUAUGCACGUCUUGACGGUACCUAAUCAGAAAGCCACGGCUAACUACGUG
rnacentral:rRNA from 1 species